rnacentral:rRNA from 1 species
CAGUCGCCGCGGUAAUACGUAGGUGGCGAGCGUUAUCCGGAAUUAUUGGGCGUAAAGCGCGCGUAGGCGGUUUUUUAAGUCUGAUGUGAAAGCCCACGGCUCAACCGUGGAGGGUCAUUGGAAACUGGAAAACUUGAGUGCAGAAGAGGAAAGUGGAAUUCCAUGUGUAGCGGUGAAAUGCGCAGAGAUAUGGAGGAACACCAGUGGCGAAGGCGACUUUCUGGACUGUAACUGACGCUGAUGUGCGAAAGCGUGGGGAUCAAACAGGAUUAGAUACCCCCGUAGUCCCUGUCUCUUAUAC